UGUGGACAUUCCGUCACUCUCCUCAGGCUCUGUCCUAGUGGCAUAUGGGACUAUAGGACCCCACCAGUUGAUGUAAAUUCCCUUUCCACAAUGCAAGAGAUGAAGCUGAGCUUCAAGUCUGCUCCUGAAUAUUCCUACAACUUCUUAGAGUCCUGAGGAGGAUGACUGAGGAGACAAACCAUGCUGAAAACAAAA